rnacentral:rRNA from 1 species
AACGCUAGCUACAGGCUUAACACAUGCAAGUCGAGGGGAAACGAUAGAGAAAGCUUGCUUUUUCUAGGCGUCGACCGGCGCACGGGUGAGUAACGCGUAUCCAACCUGCCCAUCACUUGGGGAUAACCUUGCGAAAGUAAGACUAAUACCCAAUGACGUCUCUAGAAGACAUCUGAAAGAGAUUAAAGAUUUAUCGGUGAUGGAUGGGGAUGCGUCUGAUUAGCUUGUUGGCGGGGUAACGGCCCACCAAGGCGACGAUCAGUAGGGGUUCUGAGAGGAAGGUCCCCCACAUUGGAACUGAGACACGGUCCAAACUCCUACGGGAGGCAGCAGUGAGGAAUAUUGGUCAAUGGACGAGAGUCUGAACCAGCCAAGUAGCGUGCAGGAAGACGGCCCUAUGGGUUGUAAACUGCUUUUAUAAGGGAAUAAAGUGAGUCUCGUGAGACUUUUUGCAUGUACCUUAUGAAUAAGGACCGGCUAAUUCCGUGCCAGCAGCCGCGGUAAUACGGAAGGUCCGGGCGUUAUCCGGAUUUAUUGGGUUUAAAGGGAGCGUAGGCCGGAGAUUAAGCGUGUUGUGAAAUGUAGACGCUCAACGUCUGCACUGCAGCGCGAACUGUUUUCCUUGAGUACGCACAAAGUGGGCGGAAUUCGUGGUGUAGCGGUGAAAUGCUUAGAUAUCACGAAGAACUCCGAUUG